GACGAACGCUGGCCGCGUGCUUAACACAUGCAAGUCGAACGGAAAGGCCCUGCUUUUGUGGGGUGCUCGAGUGGCGAACGGGUGAGUAACACGUGAGUAACCUGCCCUUGACUUUGGGAUAACUUCAGGAGACUGGGGCUAAUACCGGAUAGUAGCUCCUGCUGCGUGGUGGGGGUUGGAAAGUGUCGGCGGUUGGGGAUGGACUCGCGGCUUAUCAGUUUGUUGGAGGGGUAGUGGCUUACCAAGGCUUUGACGGGUAGCCGGCCUGAGAGGGUGACCUGCCACAUUGGGACUGAGAUAAGGCCCAGAGUCCUAUGGGGGGCCGCAGUGGGGGAUAUUGUACAAUGGGCGGAAGCUUGAUGCAGCAAGGCAGUGUGCGGGAUGACGGCAUUCGGGUUGUAAACCCCUUGCGCCUGUGCAGAAGCGUGCUUGACGUCACUGGGUAAAGAAGCCCCGGCUAACUACGUG
rnacentral:rRNA from 1 species